rnacentral:rRNA from 1 species
UACUCAGUGGCGAACGGGUGAGUAACACGUGGGUGAUCUGCCCUGCACUUCGGGAUAAGCUUGGGAAACUGGGUCUAAUACCGGAUAGGAGCCAUCUUUAGUGUGGUGGUUGGAAAGUUUUUUCGGUGUAGGAUGAGCUCGCGGCCUAUCAGCUUGUUGGUGGGGUAAUGGCCUACCAAGGCGGCGACGGGUAGCCGGCCUGAGAGGGUGUACGGCCACAUUGGGACUGAGAUACGGCCCAG